GAUGCACGCUGGCGGCGUGCCUAAUACAUGCAAGUCGAGCGAACAGACGAGGAGCUUGCUCCUCUGACGUUAGCGGCGGACGGGUGAGUAACACGUGGAUAACCUACCUAUAAGACUGGGAUAACUUCGGGAAACCGGAGCUAAUACCGGAUAAUAUAUUGAACCGCAUGGUUCAAUAGUGAAAGACGGUUUUGCUGUCACUUAUAGAUGGAUCCGCGCCGCAUUAGCUAGUUGGUAAGGUAACGGCUUACCAAGGCAACGAUGCGUAGCCGACCUGAGAGGGUGAUCGGCCACACUGGAACUGAGACACGGUCCAGACUCCUACGGGAGGCAGCAGUAGGGAAUCUUCCGCAAUGGGCGAAAGCCUGACGGAGCAGCGCCGCGUGAGUGAUGAAGGUCUUCGGAUCGUAAAACUCUGUUAUUAGGGAAGAACAAAUGUGUAAGUAACUAUGCACGUCUUGACGGUACCUAAUCAGAAAGCCACGGCUAACUACGUG
rnacentral:rRNA from 1 species